rnacentral:rRNA from 1 species
GAUUGGCUGGACGCGCUUCGGCGCACCCAGAAACCCUUUGUGAACUUAUACCCAUUGUUGCCUCGGCGUAGGCCGGCCUCUUCACUGAGGCCCCCUGGAAACAGGGAGCAGCCCGCCGGCGGCCAACCAAACUCUUGUUUCUACAGUGAAUCUCUGAGUAAAAAAACAUAAAUGAAUCAAAACUUUCAACAACGGAUCUCUUGGUUCUGGCAUCGAUGAAGAACGCAGCGAAAUGCGAUAAGUAAUGUGAAUUGCAGAAUUCAGUGAAUCAUCGAAUCUUUGAACGCACAUUGCGCCCUCUGGUAUUCCGGAGGGCAUGCCUGUUCGAGCGUCAUUUCAACCCUCAAGCCUGGCUUGGUGAUGGGGCACUGCUUUCGUCCAGAAAGCAGGCCCUGAAAUCUAGUGGCGAGCUCGCCAGGACCCCGAGCGUAGUAGUUAUAUCUCGCUCUGGAAGGCCCUGGCGGUGCCCUGCCGUUAAACCCCCAACUUCUGAAAAUUUGACCUCGGAUCAGGUAGGAAUACCCGCUGAACUUAAGCAUAUCAAUAAGCGGAGGAA